rnacentral:lncRNA from 1 species
UUCUAACAAAAUUACUUUGAAAAGUGCACAUCACCAAAUAAUCUCUUAGAUUCACAAGUGCACAACCACAUUUUUUUAGAUAAUAGGCUAUUGCCCGACCAUAGAUUGAUGCUCUCAGUCUCAAGUUCAAGAUUUGAGUACAUACCAAUAACAGUUGAACCUAUAGUAAAGAAAAGAGGUACCAUCAUGCCAAAACAACAGCCACAGAACAGCAAGGGAGACACAGGUUCAAAACUAGCCGGCUUACUGACGGAGCAAGAAACUUAUUACAUCGCAUCUCAUGCGGGACAAGGCGACACAGCACCCAGAGACUAAAGACCAGACACCACACAGACAGGAGCAAUAACACAACACCAUUUCCCAGUCUUGGUUUCUCACAAAAUGGCAUCUCACAACAUCAAGUAGUCACGGGCACAAGCAUGCAUCACCUUCCAUUCUUCACCUCAACGUACUAGGCAUCAUCUUCUAGGCUUCGGUUAUGAUGGAAUCAGACUCAUCCUUGAAGUGAAUAUAACAAAAGCACAACUAUUAAAAUCAUGGAAAUAUACAGAACAAACAUUGCAAGUUUGAAACAUUUAGAAGUCGAAUUUCAUGAGUGGAAUAUGUUACCAUAGUUUCUUCCUCAUCAUCAAGGACACUUUGAAAUACAACAAAGAGAGUGGAGUUGCUAUCCCCUAAUGCAAAUAUUUAGAGAAACAUGCAAAAAAACAGAGCCUUCAGAUUCAGUUAAAGUGAGAAAAGGUACAUAUUUGGAAAAAAAAAUACUGUACAUAUUUGGAAAUACUGUGAUCUCUCAGUUGUAGUGAAUGGUAACAACCAACCUAAAUUGUUUUUUCUAUCUUUGUUCUUUUAGGGAAUAAGGUAGACCUGCCAAGAUUACAUGUCAGAUUUUUUUUCAAAACGGAAUUACAUGUCAGAUUGAAAUUCACUGAUGUGGCAAUAAAUAAUUUACUAAUUAACAUGCCUAUCUACAGACUACAGAUCAUGCCAUGUGCCAAAUACGAACUGUGAACAAAUUAGUAACUAGUGACAAUUGCUACUGAUGUACAAGAGUAGUUCGUAGAAAUUGGUACUGGAAACUGAAACUGAAGUACAAGAGUAGUCUGCUCCAAUUGCUACUGUAAACGGAAGUACAAGAGUACUUUGGAAAAAUCCACGAACAAGACAAGAUGCACACCCACGUACAGAUACACUAGACAUACAAGAGAGGGAUUGAUAGAACAAAAGGUUAUUACCCUGAGCGUCGACUGUUUGGUGUGGCCAUCACCUCCUCGGCACGGUCAGGCUCCUCGUCGUGGUCCGCGGCUGCCUCCUGGGACACCCGUGCCGUCAUGCUCCUGGUCAUGUGCGCAGCAGCGCUAUUGCACGUCGCGCCGCUCCACAUCGCAGC